UGGCGGCAGGCUUAACACAUGCAAGUCGAGCGGUAGCAGAUCUAGCUUGCUAGAUGCUGACGAGCGGCGGACGGGUGAGUAACGCGUAGGAACCUGCCCAGUAGUGGGGGAUAGCCCGGGGAAACUCGGAUUAAUACCGCAUACGCUCUACGGAGGAAAGAGGGGGCUUCGGCUCUCGCUAUUGGAUGGGCCUGCGUGAGAUUAGCUAGUUGGUGAGGUAAUGGCUCACCAAGGCGACGAUCUCUAGCUGGUCUGAGAGGAUGAUCAGCCACACUGGGACUGAGACACGACCCAGACUCCUACGGGAGGCAGCAGUGGGGAAUAUUGCACAAUGGGCGCAAGCCUGAUGCAGCCAUGCCGCGUGUGUGAAGAAGGCUUUCGGGUUGUAAAGCACUUUCAGUGGGGAGGAAGGCCUCGUAGUUAAUAGCUGCGAGGAUUGACGUUACCCACAGAAGAAGCACCGGCUAACUCCGUG
rnacentral:rRNA from 1 species